GGCAGGAACAUUCAAGACAACCCCAGUGACUGCACAGACAACUGUUACAGAUGUGAUAAGUGCUGCUUUAGAAAAAUUUGGAUUGAAAGGUGCCAAUGAAAAUGACUUUUCCCUGACUGAAGUACACCUAACUCAAGGAGUCCAUGAACGAAGAAUGGAACACAAUGACUGUCCGUGGAAAUCCUUGACGGAUAUUAGAAAA